rnacentral:rRNA from 1 species
UCGAGCGAGUCUGCCUUGAAGAUCGGAGUGCUUGCACUCUGUGAAACAAGAUACAGGCUAGCGGCGGACGGGUGAGUAACACGUGGGUAACCUGCCCAAGAGAUCGGGAUAACACCUGGAAACAGAUGCUAAUACCGGAUAACAACAGAUGAUGCCUAUCAACUGUUUAAAAGAUGGUUCUGCUAUCACUCUUGGAUGGACCUGCGGUGCAUUAGCUAGUUGGUAGGGUAACGGCCUACCAAGGCGAUGAUGCAUAGCCGAGUUGAGAGACUGAUCGGCCACAUUGGGACUGAGACACGGCCCAAACUCCUACGGGAGGCAGCAGUAGGGAAUCUUCCACAAUGGACGCAAGUCUGAUGGAGCAACGCCGCGUGAGUGAAGAAGGGUUUCGGCUCGUAAAGCUCUGUUGUUGGUGAAGAAGGACAGGGGUAGUAACUGACCUUUGUUUGACGGUAAUCAAUUAGAAAGUCACGGCUAACUACGUGCCAGCAGCCGCGGUAAUACGUAGGUGGCAAGCGUUGUCCGGAUUUAUUGGGCGUAAAGCGAGUGCAGGCGGCUCGAUAAGUCUGAUGUGAAAGCCUUCGGCUCAACCGGAGAAUUGCAUCAGAAACUGUCGAGCUUGAGUACAGAAGAGGAGAGUGGAACUCCAUGUGUAGCGGUGAAAUGCGUAGAUAUAUGGAAGAACACCGGUGGCGAAGGCGGCUCUCUGGUCUGUUACUGACCCUGAGGCUCGAAAGCAUGGGUAGCGAACAGGAUUAGAUACCCUGGUAGUCCAUGCCGUAAACGAUGAGUGCUAAGUGUU